UACGGAGGGUGCGAGCGUUGUCCGGAAUCACUGGGCGUAAAGGGCGCGUAGGCGGUCUGCUAAGCGUGUGGUGAAAGCUCGGGGCUCAACCCCGAGUCUGCCAUGCGAACUGGUGGACUUGAGCACUGUAGAGGCAGGUGGAAUUCCGGGUGUAGCGGUGGAAUGCGUAGAGAUCCGGAAGAACACCGGUGGCGAAGGCGGUCUGCUGGGCAGUUGCUGACACUGAGGCGCGACAGCGUGGGGAGCAAACAGG
rnacentral:rRNA from 1 species